rnacentral:rRNA from 1 species
UACGUAGGGUGCAAGCGUUGUCCGGAAUUAUUGGGCGUAAAGAGCUCGUAGGCGGUCUGUCGCGUCGGCUGUGAAAACUCGGGGCUCAACUCCGAGCUUGCAGUCGAUACGGGCAGGCUAGAGUUCGGCAGGGGAGACUGGAAUUCCUGGUGUAGCGGUGAAAUGCGCAGAUAUCAGGAGGAACACCAGCGGCGAAGGCGGCGCUCUGGGCCGGUACUGACACUGAGGAGCGAAAGCGUGGGUAGCAAACAGG